rnacentral:misc_RNA from 1 species
GAUGAAGAACGCAGCGAAAUGCGAUACGUAAUGUGAAUUGCAAAUUCAGUGAAUCAUCGAGUCUUUGAACGCACAUUGCGCCCCCUGGUAUUCCGGGGGGCAUGCCUGUCCGAGCGUCAUUGCUGCCCUCAAGCACGGCUUGUGUGUUGGGCCCCGUCCUCCGAUCCCGGGGGACGGGCCCGAAAGGCAGCGGCGGCACCGCGUCCGGUCCUCGAGCGUACGGGGCUUUGUCACCCGCUCUGUAGGCCCGGCCGGCGCUUGCCGAUCAACCCAAAUUUUUAUCCAGGUUGACCUCGGAUCAGGUAGGGAUACCCGCUGAACUUAAGCAUAUCAAUAAGCGGAGGA